UACGUAGGUGGCAAGCGUUGUCCGGAUUUACUGGGCGUAAAGAGCGCGCAGGCGGUCGUUCAAGUCGCGUGUGAAAGCCCCCGGCUCAACUGGGGAGGGUCACGCGAUACUGAUCGACUCGAAGGCAGGAGAGGGAAGUGGAAUUCCCGGUGUAGUGGUGAAAUGCGUAGAUAUCGGGAGGAACACCAGUGGCGAAGGCGACUUCCUGGCCUGUUCUUGACGCUGAGGCGCGAAAGCUAGGGAGCAAACGGG
rnacentral:rRNA from 1 species